GAUGAAGAACGUAGCGAAAUGCGAUACUUGGUGUGAAUUGCAGAAUCCCGUGAACCAUCGAGUCUUUGAACGCAAGUUGCGCCCGAAGCCAUUAGGCCGAGGGCACGCCUGCCUGGGCGUCACACGUCGUUGCCCCCCCAUCUACUCCUUCGGGAUUGCGGGGGGCGGAUGAUGGCCUCCCGUGCGCCUCGUCGCGCGGUUGGCAUAAAUGCCAAGUCCUCGGCGACGCACGCCACGACAAUCGGUGGUUGCGAAAGCUCGGUUGCCCGUCGUGUGCGGUCGUCGCGCAUCGAGGGCUCGAAAAAAUUGCCGGGCUCCGGCUCGGCUUUCAACGCGACCCCAGGUCAGGCGGGGUUACCCGCUGAAUUUAAGCAUAUCAAUAAGCGGAGGA
rnacentral:misc_RNA from 1 species